GACGUGUGGCUGUCGUAAAAACCCUAUUUGUAAACAACCAGCCCUUUAACUCGGGGCUGCGUUAUAAACACGGCGCGCUUGGAAGACCACGAUGUCAUCUUCCUUCUGUCAGGAGGAUCCAAGUGAAGCUACAGGAGUUUCAUUAACGUCAACAACUUGGACCAAACAGUUUGUUUUGCUUGAUGAAGAGCAGGAAGGGCAGCCUGGAGAGAAAGAGAAGCCGGGUUGAGCCCACUACCAUCAUCCACGUACCACGAGGAAGAUGAGGGAGAGAAAUUAUCCUACCAUUAAAGAGACUGUGAAAAGAACGUUGAGAACAUCACCACUCUACAGGAAGACACAGUCCAGUAAUGGGUGUCAGAAGUUCAGUAGUGAACGACAGAAACAAACAAUCCAAAUUACCUGCAGAAAGCCCUUGAUGGACGCUUCAGCUGCAUCGUCAGACUGGCAGUACUGAUGCAUUUACUGAGACGGGACGUGAGGGCCUACUCUGCGUGCUCAGAGUUCAAGCUCAGCAGGCUGCAGCGGGCCUGACAUAUUCUGGAACAGCAGCACGGUCUUUGGAUGACUCCUCUGAAGAUGAAAACAUGGCGAGGUACUUCUCCACUGAUGAAGAACUUUCUUCUCAAGAGAAGCAGUACAGGUGUGCCUCAGCUCCACGGUCCCUCCUGCAGCCUCCGCUCCUGAUGCUAACCUCAUGUCUCCAUCACACCAAGCAGCAGACCUGGAUUGACAGACCUUUCUCCAGAGCUGCCCCCUCCCUCUGAAACCCCCCUCUCCAAAACACUAUUUGUGUAGUUUUUAAAGUAUUUUUUGCAUGAGAAUUGUUGAUCAUAACAUUUCCAGCAGAUGCCUUAAUAUAAUGU